AGACCUAUCCCCGCCGUUCCCAUAUGUCCUGUGGGGUCUUCAUCCCAUAUGGACCUGACCCCACUGAGCCACUUGGGGUCCUGAUCCCAUAGAGACCCAUCCCUGCCGUUCCCUUUCAGCCUUGGGGUCCUGAUCCCAUAGGAUCCCAUCCCCACUGUGGAUGUUUUCCCUUUGGGGUCUCAAUCCCGUGGAGACCCACCCCCACCGUUCCCAUAUGUCCUGUGGGGUCUUCAUCCCAUAUGGACCUGACCCCAUUGAGCCCUUUGGGGUCCUGAUCCCAUGGAGACCCAUCCCCGCUGUUCCCAUAUGUCCUGUGGGGUCUUCAUCCCAUAUGGACCUGACCCCACUGAGCCACUUGGGGUCUCAAUCCCAUGGAGACCCAUCCCCGCUGUUCCCAUAUGUCCUGUGGGGUCUCAAUCCCAUAGAGACCCAUCCCUGUCAUCCCAUUUGCCCCAUGGGGUCCUGAUCUCAUAGGAUCCCAUCCCCACUGUGGAUGUUUUCCCUUUGGGGUCUCGAUCCCAUGGAGACCCAUCCCUGCCAUUCCCAUAUGUCCUGUGGGGUCUCAAUCCCAUAUGGACCUGACCCCAUUGAGCCCUUUGGGGUCCUGAUCCCAUAGAGACCCACCCCUGCCGUUCCCUUACAGCUUUGGGGUCCUGAUCCCAUAGGAUCCCAUCCCCACUGGGGUCGGUGCCCUUUGGGGUCUCAGUCCCAUGGGGUCCCCCCCCACCGUCCCCAUUCACCCCGUGGGCUCACAGGAUCCCAUCCCACUGCAGAUGUGAUGUGCGUCCUUUGGGGUCCUGGUCCCAGGACGUCCAUCCGUGUGUCCCCAAGGUGUCCGUGUGUCCCACAUGUCCCUGUCCCCAUGAUGCCCACGUGUCCCAUGUCAUCCUGUCCCAAGGUGUCCAUGUGUCCCACACAGCUUUGUCCCCAAGGUGUCCGUGUGUCCUCUGUGUCCCUGUCCCCAAGGUGUCCCUCUAUGGGUCCCACACUGCCUUGUCCCCAAGGUGUCCGUGUGUCCUCUGUGUCCCUGUCCCCAAGGUGUCCCUCUAUGGGUCCCAAUACUGCCUUGUCCCCAAGGUGUCUGUGUGUCCCUGUCCCCAGGACGUCCAUCCAUGUCCCCAAUGUGUCCCCAUCCCCGAGACGUCCGUCCGUGUGUCCCACAUGCUCCUGUCCCCAGGGUGUCCGUGUGUCCCACACAGCUUUGUCCCCAAGGUGUCCAUCCAUGUGCCCUACGUGUCCCAUGUCAUCCUGUCCCCAGGAUGCCAUCCAUGUGUCCCUGUGUCCCUGUCCCCAAGAUGUCCUUUUAUGGGUCCCACACUACCUUGUCCCCAAGGUGUCUGUGUGUCCCCGUCCCCAAGAUGCCCAUAGGUGUCCACACAGCUUUGUCCCCAGGAUGCCAUCCAGUGUCCCCCGUGUCCCUGUCCCCACGCUGUCCUUUUAUGGGUCCCAUGUGCUUUUGUCCCCAACAUGUCCGUGUGUCAGGAUGUCCGUCCGUGUGUCCCACACAGCUUUGUCCCCAAGCUGUCCAUCCCAGUACCCACAUGGUGGCCCCACGGUGCCCACGCCCAGGUAAUCAGACACAAAACCCCCCAAAACCCCCACAAACCCAUCAUCUCUGAGAAAACCUCUUUAAAUACAGCAGCACAGAAAAGGGCCGUGGGGGCAGCGGCGUCAGCACUGCGCCGCGUCCUCAAAGCUGGGGUUGGCGAAGGCUGCGCCCCACACCGCGCCGGCCUUGGUGCCCUCCGUGCCACCGGGUUUGGUGUCACCAACGUCAACUGUGGUGCCCUCUGUGCCAAACCUGGUGCCCCCCGUGCCAAAUCCAGUGCCCCCUGUGCCGGAUCUGGUGUCUUCAGUACCGGAUCUGGUGCCCUCCACGUCAUCUUUGAUGCCCUCCAUGCCAUCUUUGGUGCCCUCCACGCUGAGCGGUGCGGGACCUGCGGGCGCAGCGGGACGGGGUCACCCCCAGAUGGUGGGACGGGGGACCCUUGGGGUGGGGGGGGCGGGGGGGGGGUCCGGGGUCCGCACCCAUGUAGCUGAGCAGGACGGGCAGGAAGACGAGGCCGUGAGCGAGGCCCACCAGCGUGAUGAUGAAAUUGAGACGGAAGAAGAAGAUCUGGAUGAGCUGCGCUUUGGCGAAGGCCAAAACCACGACGCCCGGCAGGUUGGUCAUGGCCACCCCGGCCACCACCUGGCAUCGGGGACACGUGGGGUGAGGCGUGGGGCGAGGCGUGGGGCGAGGUUCGGGGUGACCCACGCGUCCCCGCGCCCCACACCUUGCUGCCCAUGUUGAUGGUGGCCUCGGCCGCGCGCUCCACGCGGGUGGG
rnacentral:lncRNA from 1 species